GUCUUUCUGCUGGAGCCUGCUAGCUCCUGUUUCCACCCCAUCCUGGCAGGCCCUACAGGUGUAUCCUACCUGAGGGCCACUUAUUUUGAAGAUGGUGAGAGAUAAACUGCUGGAGUGGUCUGUUCAGCCUGGAGAAGAGGAGACUGAGGGGAGACCUCAUCGAACUCUACAAUUUCCUCUUGAGGGGAAGAA